UACAGAGGGUGCAAGCGUUAAUCGGAAUUACUGGGCGUAAAGCGUGCGUAGACGGUCAUGUAAGUCGGGUGUGAAAGCCCCGGGCUCAACCCAGGAAGUGCACUCGAAACUGGAGGGCUAGAGUAUCGGAGAGGUUGGUGGAAUUCUCGGUGUAGAGGUGAAAUUCGUAGAUAUCGAGAGGAACACCGGUGGCGAAGGCGGCCAACUGGACGAAUACUGACGCUGAGACACGAAAGCGUGGGGAGCAAACAGG
rnacentral:rRNA from 1 species